CACCGCCCGUCACACCAUGGGAGUGAGUUUCACCAGAAGCAGCUAGCCUAACCGCAAGGGGGCGGUUGCCACGGUGAGAUUCAUGACUGGGGUG
rnacentral:rRNA from 1 species